UACGUAGGGGGCAAGCGUUGUCCGGAAUCAUUGGGCGUAAAGAGCGUGUAGGCGGUUCGGUAAGUCCGUCGUGAAAGUCCAGGGCUCAACCCUGGAAAGCCGAUGGAUACUGCCGGACUAGAGUCCGGAAGAGGCGAGUGGAAUUCCUGGUGUAGCGGUGAAAUGCGCAGAUAUCAGGAGGAACACCUAUGGCGAAGGCAGCUCGCUGGGACGGCACUGACGCUGAGACGCGAAAGCGUGGGGAGCGAACAGG
rnacentral:rRNA from 1 species